CCCUUAGAUGUUCUGGGCGGCCCGCGCACUACAAUGGCGCUUUCAGCGAGUUCCUAUGUUGAAUUUUCCUUGGUAUUCUUGGAAGCGGCGUCUUGACUUGGGAUAGAUCCUUGUAAUUGUUGGUUUUGAACGAGGAAUUCCUUGUAAUCGCGGUUGAUCAGCUCGCGUUGAAUACGUCCCUGCCCUUUGUACACACCGCCCGUCGCUCCUACCGAUGAAUCGUCCGGCGAAGUUCACAGAGUGGCGGUUCGUGGAGUUGCUCGCGAAGUGAAAUGGACCUCACGAUUUAGAGGAAGGAGAAGUCGUAACA
rnacentral:rRNA from 1 species